rnacentral:rRNA from 1 species
UACAGAGGGGGCAAGCGUUAUUCGGAAUUAUUGGGCGUAAAGGGCGCGUAGGCGGCCUGGCAAGUGGAUGGUGAAAUCCCUCGGCUUAACCGAGGAACUGCCAUCCAGACUGCUUGGCUUGAGACCGGGAGAGGUGAGUGGAAUUCCCAGUGUAGCGGUGAAAUGCGUAGAUAUUGGGAGGAACACCAGUGGCGAAGGCGGCUCACUGGACCGUUCGUGACGCUGAGGCGCGAAAGCGUGGGGAGCAAACGGG